GACGAACGCUGGCGGCGUGCCUAAUACAUGCAAGUUGAGCGAUGAAGAUUGGUGCUUGCACCAAUUUGAAGAGCAGCGAACGGGUGAGUAACGCGUGGGGAAUCUGCCUUUGAGCGGGGGACAACAUUUGGAAACGAAUGCUAAUACCGCAUAACAACUUUAAACAUAAGUUUUAAGUUUGAAAGAUGCAAUUGCAUCACUCAAAGAUGAUCCCGCGUUGUAUUAGCUAGUUGGUGAGGUAAAGGCUCACCAAGGCGAUGAUACAUAGCCGACCUGAGAGGGUGAUCGGCCACAUUGGGACUGAGACACGGCCCAAACUCCUACGGGAGGCAGCAGUAGGGAAUCUUCGGCAAUGGACGAAAGUCUGACCGAGCAACGCCGCGUGAGUGAAGAAGGUUUUCGGAUCGUAAAACUCUGUUGGUAGAGAAGAACGUUGGUGAGAGUGGAAAGCUCAUCAAGGGACGGUAACUACCCAGAAAGGGACGGCUAACUACGU
rnacentral:rRNA from 1 species